UAGCAGCAUAUUUGUGGACUUAGUCAGGGAAUUGAAUUUAGAAAAAAAUACUGCUCACCCCUUUGUGUUUGUUAGAAAAAUGUAUGUACUUAAAAACAACAACAAUGUUUUCUGUGUCAUAAUCAAAGCAUAAGGUUUGUAAAAACAAAAAAUGUUUUGAGUAGGUCUGAUAUGCAGUCUGCACAAAAUAUCUUGCCGAUGUUCUCAUCAUUGUCUGUAUUGAAGUCUAAUUCUAGGUGGAGUUUCGUCUCCCAUUGAGUAACAGUUUCUUUGGACAGUUUGUUAAUUUUGGCUGCUAUGUCGGAUUAGUUUGAUCAUCACCAUCGGCCUUCGUAGAUAUUAAAUAUCAAUGCAUAAAAAACUUUAAAAAUAUUAUUGCUUUUCAUGAUGAUGGACUGUGCCUCAAAAUUGAUAUAAGUCAAAUACUGCCGUCUAGAAUCUGAGCACGAAAUAACAGUCUACAACGUGUAAUGGAGUGUUUGCUAGGCAAGAGCUCUUGAAGGGGCAGUUUAUUCUCGAGUACAGAGGAGAACUAUGUAAACAGCAGUCUGAUGGUGAUGAAAUGUUCAAAUACCAUUUCAGACAUAACAACAAGGAAUACUGCAUCGAUGCCUCAAAAGACACGUGUCUGGCAUGCAUGGUCAACGACUUGGACCGAUACACAAAGCCUAAUUGCAAAAUGGUUAAAGUUGUUGAUGACAGACAUCAACCAAGACUCUGUCUGUAUGAUCAGCAAAGACACUGAAUUGAGGUACGAUUAUGAUGUUGCUGAUGUACCUUGGAGAAAGCGAAAGAUGCUGUUAAAGAUGGUCAUACAGCUGCAGAUACUACAGAGGUCACAGAAACAUCUGAAGAUGCCCUCAGUGAAUCAGCAGAAGUCUUGGAACAUGCUUAUCAUGAUGCUGUAGGGAACAGUGGGACAGUUGCCCCAUCCACAGUUGUCUCUGAACAUGCUGAAGGGCCGCCUCAAGAUGCUGUUAAAGAUGGUCAUACAGCUGCAGAUACUACAGAGGUCACAGAAACAUCUGAAGAUGCCCUCAGUGAAUCAGCAGAAGUCUUGGAACAUGCUUAUCAUGAUGCUGUAGAAAUCAGAGGGAUAGUUUACCAUCCACAGUUGUCUCUGAACAUGCUGAAGGGCCGCCUCGAGCAAUGUUCAAGAUUUGACCCAGGAGCAGCUACAGGAUAUGGUUGAUCAGAGUGAGAGGCAUCUGCGGAAAAUAUUUGGAGGAUAUAUUCUCUGCGAGAGACAUAUUGCAUUCAAGCAGGAAGGAAGAAGCAAAAAUGCUGUUAAGACGAUUAUACAGUUGCAGAAACAACAGAGAUCUCGGAACCAUCUCAAGAUGCUCUUGGUGCAUCAACAGAAGAUCAGAAGUGGACCAUGCUUAUCUUGAUGCUACAGGGAACAUGGUACAGUUGCCCCAUCCACUGUCAUCUCUGAACAUGCUGAAGGGCUGCCUGAAGCCAGGAACUUUCAGCGUUUAACAGAGGAGCAAGGCCAACUCCUAAGAAAAUGUCGAAGUGUUCAACAUUACUAUGAGACGGGAACUGAAGAUGAUAGACUGUAUUAAUUCAAUCAAAAGCCACAAGUGUUUGAAUUCUCUGAAGUGGAAUUAAAUAAAAAGCACAUUACACAGUUGGAUAACGACAGAUUGCACACUGAAACAAUAAUAAGUGUUCAAAGUGCUAGUACAUCUUGUACAUAGUGUCAAGGUGUCCAAGCAUGUCUCUGUAAGCCAAUGGUUCACUGCAUAUGAGGUUAUUUUAUAUCUUACAGUGGAUUGCAGCAAAAGGCCAGAGGAAAAUAUGUUUUGAUACUCAUCCGUAUUUUGAAGAAGAAAAAAGGGGCUGAAUGGCAUGUUUAUUUUUGUUUAUUUGACGGGCGGGCUGGGAUGAGAAUCUAAAAUAUUUUUUCUCUGGCUUAAGGCUUUAUUCUUAGUAUGUAUCUAUUAUGUCAUCAUGAUGAAGUCAUCGUUACUAUUCUACAUUGUUAAAAAUUAGAUUCAAUCAUUUUUAGAUUUCCGGAGGUUUUGAAGAGCAUAUUUUUAACAGCCAAUGGGAUCAUAAGCACAUUUCGAGUGUUACAUGACCCAGCCUUUUUAUCAAAAGUUGCUCAGAGUUCAUUUUUGUGUGUCAGAGUAAUAGGCCUUGGAAACUUCAAAAUGGCUGAAAAGGCUUGUCCAAGCACUUUAUUUUCGCUUGCACUGUUUAUCAUCUAGGUUAAUAAAUAUAAUUUCAGUUGAUUUGCAGAAAGUUUACCAGGAUAAGAAUUUGUCGAUUGUUUCUAUACAAUAAUAAUUUCAAUAAACUAACUUUAUUUUCAAACAGUUUUGACACAAUGACCACAAUGAAUUUAUAUUUUGUCACAACUAAAACUGGGACCAAGGUCUACUGCAUUGUAAAUGAAAAAUAGAAUUUAACAAAAUGGGUAUGUCAUGUACAACACUGAUACAAUGUUCUCAGUAGUGGUGACAUUAUGUCAUAAUAAUUUUUGUCACAAAUAGAUUUUUAGAGUUGCCGAUUGUUUUAUUCAAACAGUAAUUUCUCAUUUGAAUUUUAUGGAGAAGUGUAUUUUAUACACAUUCACAGUUAAUGUGUAAUUUCAUGGUGUCAGUCAUUGGUUUGCAGUUCAUGUUACUUUGUAGUUUCUCACUUGUAUUUUGUGACAUAUUCUUGACAUGUAAAGAUGGCAAAUGUAUGUGAUGAAUGUGAGAGAUUAACAUUGUUCAUUGCACAAUGUAUUCACAUAUGUGCUUGUUAACCUCGUUCACUAUUUUAUUUCCCUCUGCAUGUAACCAAAAAUGACUUGUUUAUAAAAUGUCCAUGAUUUAUUUAAAAUUCCAUAAUCAUGGCAACUCGUUUUACUCGUUUUAAUCUUCGAAAAAAGGUGAGGGCUCCCUCCACGGCGCUUCUUGUUUGUUUGUUUUUAGAUUAUUUUUGCUCUGAAGCAAAAUGAUGACCCCCAAUUAUUUUGCUUAUAUUUUUUAAUGAAAUGUAUAAAAUACAUGUACUUCAACGUGAAAUAAAUUUGCCUUAAAA